UACGUAGGGUGCAAGCGUUGUCCGGAAUUAUUGGGCGUAAAGAGCUCGUAGGCGGUCUGUCACGUCGGCUGUAAAAACCCGAGGCUCAACCUCGGGCCUGCAGUCGAUACGGGCAAACUAGAGUACUGCAGGGGAGACUGGAAUUCCUGGUGUAGCGGUGAAAUGCGCAGAUAUCAGGAGGAACACCGGUGGCGAAGGCGGGUCUCUGGGCAGUAACUGACGCUGAGGAGCGAAAGCGUGGGGAGCGAACAGG
rnacentral:rRNA from 1 species